UACGACCAUCUCAUUUUGAAACACAGAUUCCCAUACGAUCACCGAAGUUAAGCAUCAUCGAACCUGAACAGUACGUAGAGGGGUGAUCGCUUGGAAACAUCAAGGGCUGUAUU